rnacentral:lncRNA from 1 species
CUCAAGCAAAAAAUGCUCGCUUAUCAUACUUCUCAACUAUUGACCAUAUAACAAGUGAAAUCUUAAACAUCAAUCCCAAUAUAUCAAAGCUUUACAUCGUGUGACCCAUGCAUAUCGGAUCUCUAAAACAUUUAUCCAAGUCGAAAAGACGAUAAGUUUUGCCUAGACAAAGGUCUCGAGGCACGAGAAAUUGAGUAUCCCAUUGUCUCCCAAUCCUAACUAUACUUU